GAGGGCAUAGCUCAAGUGGUAGAGCGCAUGCUUAGCAUGCAUGAGGUCCUGGAUUCAGUCACCAGUACCUCCA
rfam:Camelus ferus unplaced genomic scaffold scaffold996, whole genome shotgun sequence.